rnacentral:rRNA from 1 species
UACGUAGGAGGCAAGCGUUGUCCGGAGUUACUGGGCGUAAAGCGCACGCAGGCGGUCGGUCAAGUUCUGGGUGACAGUCCUCAGCCUAACUGAGGAAGUGCCUGGAAAACUGAUGGACUUGAGGGCUUCAGAGGGACACGGAAUUCCGGGUGGAGUGGUGAAAUGCGUAGAGAUCCGGAGGAACACCAAAGGCGUAGG